CACUCGCUGUGCUUUGCUAAUCUGAGAGAUCUCAGAGGAUUGUUGUGGGGCUUUAGGUACUUUAGCAUUGCACUGAGAAACCACAGGUACAUGAAGGGUUAGGGUUUGAACCGAGCCAGCUCAGGUAGACUGCACCAUAACUACUUCUGUACAGCCACGGGUUGAAGUCGUUUCGUGUCUAGGUGUAGUUUUUAAUGCGACCCAUACAGAAGAGGUCCCAGACCCACGCUGGGACGGCUCUAACUCCACACCGCUUCGUUCAUCGUCUCUGGGCCAGGCACGAGAGGUGACAGGACGGGUUAAAUGAAGCAUUACAGAUGAGUUCUGGGUGACUGAGCCUUUGCUCGUUUCAGUAGCAGCAGGUUGUCACAUUGGCUGUGUCUCAAUUCAGGGUCUGCAUCCUACGUCGGCCGGAUUCGUCGGCCGGUUACGUCACAGCGCCGCGACUCGGCCUGUCCCAAUUCGAAGACUCCUUUGAAUGCGGUCGACGAAUGCGGCCUUCUUUUCGCCUGAAUGAAGGAUGGGUCCGGUGUAUCCUUCAAUAGGUAGCAUUUCCCAAGAUGCCUUGCGGGCCGGCCGGCAGAAAAACUUAAAAACAAUGGCGGACAGUGAAGCGGGAGCUGUCGGAGAGGAUUGCGCAUAUAAAUGAACAAAAGAGAAAACCAGGGAAUUUAUUAAGCUUAGGGCGGAGAUGGACCACAUGAUCACCGGAGCAAAGUAUUCGGUGGCUGUGGCAUGGAGACUAUUCUGGAGAAAAUGGGCAUCCAGGGGAAGGUGCCAGCGAUGAGCUUCUGGAGCUGAUCUGGGAGGACAUGAGGCUGCAGAGCAGCAGAGGGCCCAGGAGAGAAGGGAGAACUUUGACAGCUUUUUACUUUGCUAGAAAAAAAUGGUUAAUAAAGAUUAAACAUGUACAUAUAAAAGAAAUAUCUAAAUAAAAUCAGUUCUGCAUUAAACUC